rnacentral:pre_miRNA from 1 species
GGGUAUCACUGUUUUGUUAUUCCCGGCUAAUAACACAAUAACAUGUGCAAAAGUUAUUUCACGUGUCAUUGUGUUAUUGAUUGGGGAUAGCGAAAAGUUAUAUUCCC